GAUGAACGCUAGCGGCAGGCCUAAUACAUGCAAGUCGAACGGGAUCCAGAUCAAAGCUUGCUUUGGUUUGGUGAGAGUGGCGUACGGGUGCGUAACGCGUGAGCAACCUACCCUUGUCAGGGGGAUAGCCCGGCGAAAGUCGGAUUAAUACCGCAUGACAUCAGUGAGAGGCAUCUUUCGAUGAUCAAAGAUUUAUCGGACAAGGAUGGGCUCGCGUGACAUUAGCUAGUUGGUAAGGUAACGGCUUACCAAGGCUACGAUGUCUAGGGGCUCUGAGAGGAGAAUCCCCCACACUGGUACUGAGACACGGACCAGACUCCUACGGGAGGCAGCAGUAAGGAAUAUUGGUCAAUGGACGGAAGUCUGAACCAGCCAUGCCGCGUGCAGGAAGACGGCCCUAUGGGUUGUAAACUGCUUUUAUACGGGAACAAACGUCGGUACGUGUACCGGUCUGAGUGUACCGUAAGAAUAAGGAUCGGCUAACUCCGUG
rnacentral:rRNA from 1 species